AACGGAGGGGACUAGCGUUGUUCGGAAUUACUGGGCGUAAAGCGCACGUAGGCGGAUUGUUAAGUCAGGGGUGAAAUCCCGAGGCUCAACCUCGGAACUGCCUUUGAUACUGGCAAUCUCGAGUCCGGAAGAGGUGAGUGGAAUUCCUAGUGUAGAGGUGAAAUUCGUAGAUAUUAGGAAGAACACCAGUGGCGAAGGCGGCUCACUGGUCCGGUACUGACGCUGAGGUGCGAAAGCGUGGGGAGCAAACAGG
rnacentral:rRNA from 1 species